AGUGAACGCUGGCGGUAGGCCUAACACAUGCAAGUCGAACGGCAGCACAGUAAGAGCUUGCUCUUACGGGUGGCGAGUGGCGGACGGGUGAGGAAUACAUCGGAAUCUACUUUUUCGUGGGGGAUAACGUAGGGAAACUUACGCUAAUACCGCAUACGACCUACGGGUGAAAGCAGGGGAUCUUCGGACCUUGCGCGAUUGAAUGAGCCGAUGUCGGAUUAGCUAGUUGGCGGGGUAAAGGCCCACCAAGGCGACGAUCCGUAGCUAGUCUGAGAGGAUGUAGCCCCAACUGGGAGCUGAAACCCGUCCAAGCUACUCAGGGGGGCACCAGUGGGGAAUUAUUGGCAACUGGGGGAAACCUUGCCCAACCAAUCCCGGUGGGUUGAAGAGGCCCUUCGGUUGUAAAACCCCUUUUUUGGGGAAAAAAAAACGGCAGUGUAAACCCCCGCUGUUUGACGGUACCCAAAGAAAAAGCCACGGCCAACUUCGUG
rnacentral:rRNA from 1 species